rnacentral:lncRNA from 1 species
GUAAGUUCUGUGUUCUGCAUUGUAACAUGGUUCGUGACAUGGGAUUCCAGGCUGAGGAACAAGGUGAGAGGAAGGAGGUGCUGUUAGGGAGGACGUGUGUUUGCUCUGGGCUGGAUCCUGAAGAGAUCAGUGAGCUGUCACACAUCACAUCCGCCAAGCUACAGCUCUGGAACGGCCUCUGCUGAAAGUAAAAGGGAGUGCUGGGCAAUUACAGAAGCGAGACGACGGCUGCCACCUUUACUGCCGCAUUUAGAAAGGUAAAACUGUAUC